rnacentral:rRNA from 1 species
CCCUCUUCUCACUUCUCUGCGACAUUCAUUUCCAGCAGUCGAGAACGUACUCGUAUCUUUCUGUCCCCGGCGCGCAGACCUUUUUUUUCCCUUACGGUCCUCAUGGAGCAAAAGCUCGGUGGCCGACUAGUAUUUCACCCCCUGUCCUCCCCUCCCUCAAAGUUGGUGGCUUAGUGUGGGGUUCUUCCACGAGUUUCGGUCCGCACGUAUGGCAUAAAGCCCCCCGCUUGGGGAAUUCGCGCCGAAAGGCUAAAACUUAAAGGAAUUGACGGGGGCCCGCACAAAGCGGCGGAGCAUGUGGUUUAUUCGAAGCAACCCGAAGAACCUUACCAAGGUUUGACAUGCAGGGAAAAGCGGUAGAGAUACGGUGUCCGUAAGGGUCCUGCACAGGUGGUGCAUGGCUGUCGUCAGCUCGUGUCGUGAGAUGUUGGGUUAAGUCCCGCAACGAGCGCAACCCUCGUCCUAUGUUGCCAGCGGAUUAUGCCGGGGACUCAUAGGAGACUGCCGGGGUCAACUCGGAGGAAGGUGGGGAUGACGUCAAGUCCUCAUGCCCGUUAUAUCUUGGGCUGCAAACAUGNUACAAUGGCCAGUACAGAGGGCUGCGGGACCGCAAGGUGGAGCGAAUCUCAAAAAGCUGGUCUCAGUUCGGAUUGGGGUCUGCAACUCGACCCCAUGAAGUCGGAGUCGCUAGUAAUCGCGAAUCAGCAACGUCGCGGUGAAUACGUUCCCGGGCCUUGUACACACCGCCCGUCACGUCACGAAAGUCGGCAACACCCGAAGCCGGUGGCCUAACCCGUAAGGGAGGGAGCCGUCGAAGGUGGGGCCAGCGAUUGGGACGAAGUCGUAACAAGGUAA